rnacentral:rRNA from 1 species
GAUGAACGCUGGCGGCGUGCCUAAUACAUGCAAGUCGAGCGAACGGACGAGAAGCUUGCUUCUCUGAUGUUAGCGGCGGACGGGUGAGUAACACGUGGAUAACCUACCUAUAAGACUGGGAUAACUUCGGGAAACCGGCGCUAAUACCGGAUAAUAUUUUGAACCGCAUGGUUCAAAAGUGAAAGACGGUCUUGCUGUCACUUAUAGAUGGAUCCGCGCUGCAUUAGCUAGUUGGUAAGGUAACGGCUUACCAAGGCAACGAUGCAUAGCCGACCUGAGAGGGUGAUCGGCCACACUGGAACUGAGACACGGUCCAGACUCCUACGGUAGGCAGCAGUAGGGAAUCUUCCGCAAUGGGCGAAAGCCUGACGGAGCAACGCCGCGUGAGUGAUGAAGGUCUUCGGAUCGUAAAACUCUGUUAUUAGGGAAGAACAUAUGUGGAAGUAACUGUGCACAGCGUGACGGUACCUAAUCAGAAAGCCACGGCUAACUACGUG